GAGCCAGCCGUUGGGGUAGGUGAGGGAGGGACCCGGGAACCUGGGACCCUAUCUCCGACCACUCUUCUCCGCCGGGGCGCGGCUCCA
ensembl:miRNA